GCUUAACGCGAAGAACCUUACCCACCUUUGACAUCCCGUGCUAUCCAGAGAGAUCUGGAGUCCCUUCGGGCGCGGAGACAGGUGCUGCAUGGCUGUCGUCAGCUCGUGUCGUGAGAUGUUGGGUUAAGUCCCGCAACGAGCGCAACCCUCGCUUCUAGUUGCCAGCAUUUAGUUGGGCACUCUAGAGGAACUGNCCUGCGCCAAGCAGGAGGAAGGCGGGGAGUGACGUCAAGUCCUCAUGGCCCUUACAGGUGGGGCGUACACACGUGCUACAAUGGCGGUGACAAGGGAUAAUCCCUAAAAGCCGUCUCAGUUCGGAUUGUCCUCUGCAACUCGAGGGCAUGAAGUUGGAAUCGCUAGUAAUCGCGGAUCAGCACGCCGCGGUGAAUCGUUCCCGGGUC
rnacentral:rRNA from 1 species